UCCAGAUUUUCUCUUUCUCUUUCUCUUUCUCUUUAUAUUCAUAUUCAUUCACACAAACAAAUUAGGGCUCAAUUCCGCAAUUUCACCAUUGAAGCAGCUUCAACAAGUUAGGUUUAAUACAUUCAGAUUUCUCAACAGAUCAUCGUUAUGAUAACAACAACAACAUCUGCAUUGUGAUUGUAAGACGAUGAUCAUGGCGAACGGCAGUCCUCCGUACGAAUGGCUGUUUGAUGAUGACGAUGACGGUUACGGUUUUGACUUUUGACGUAACCGCCAUGGAAGACAAUCGUUUGACGUAACCGUUGGAUUUUGAAUCGAUGUUCAAUUCGAUUGGAGAACAAUCGCGUGGUGACUUUUCGGAGGUAAAAUUCUGAGUUUGUUUGAUUGUUUGUGUUUUAAAAGUGUUUGUGAGUUUGAUUGUGUGAAUACGUAUUGAAUGCGUGAUGUGAUGGUUUGGAUUGAAGGAUUAAGUGUUUUUGAAGAGAUUUUGGAGUGAUUAGUGGUGAAUAUGAGUGUUGUUUUGUAUAAAUGUUUAGAAUGUGAUAUGCUGCUGCAAGUUUAAUGAAGUUUUAAGUGAUUAGAGUGUAUUAUAUGUUUGUGUAAAGGAUUCGAUCUUU
rnacentral:lncRNA from 1 species